CCUACGGGAGGCAGCAGUGGGGGAUAUUGCACAAUGGGCGGAAGCCUGAUGCAGCGACGCCGCGUGAGGGACGAAGGCCUUCGGGUUGUAAACCUCUUUCAGCAGGGACGAAGCGUGAGUGACGGUACCUGCAGAAGAAGCACCGGCUAACUACGUGCCAGCAGCCGCGGUAAU
rnacentral:rRNA from 1 species